rnacentral:rRNA from 1 species
UCAGGAUGAACGCUGGCGGCGUGCUUAACACAUGCAAGUCGAACGAAGCAACUUAUUACGAUCCCUUCGGGGUGACGAUUUGUUGACUGAGUGGCGGACGGGUGAGUAACGCGUGGGUAACCUACCUUGUACAGGGGGACAACAGUUGGAAACGACUGCUAAUACCGCAUAAGCGCACAGCUUCGCAUGAAGUGGUGUGAAAAGUUUUUUCGGUACAAGAUGGACCCGCGUCUGAUUAGCUAGUUGGUGAGGUAACGGCCCACCAAGGCGACGAUCAGUAGCCGACCUGAGAGGGUGACCGGCCACAUUGGGACUGAGACACGGCCCAAACUCCUACGGGAGGCAGCAGUGGGGAAUAUUGCACAAUGGGCGAAAGCCUGAUGCAGCGACGCCGCGUGAGCGAAGAAGUAUUUCGGUAUGUAAAGCUCUAUCAGCAGGGAAGAUAAUGACGGUACCUGACUAAGAAGCACCGGCUAAAUACGUGCCAGCAGCCGCGGUAAUACGUAUGGUGCAAGCGUUAUCCGGAUUUACUGGGUGUAAAGGGAGCGUAGGCGGUUUUACAAGUCUGAUGUGAAAGCCCGGGCUCAACUCCGGUAUUGCAUUGGAAACUGUAGAACUAGAGUGUCGGAGGGGUAAGUGGAAUUCCUAGUGUAGCGGUGAAAUGCGUAGAUAUUAGGAGGAACACCAGUGGCGAAGGCGGCUUACUGGACGAUUACUGACG